UCGAGGAUCUUCGGCAAUGGGCGCAAGCCUGACCGAGCGACGCCGCGUGCGCGAUGAAGGCCUUCGGGUUGUAAAGCGCUGUCGAGGGGGAGGAAAGCCCGCAAGGGUUUGACCUAUCCCUGGAGGAAGGACGGGCUAAGUUCGUGCCAGCAGCCGCGGUAAGACGAACCGUCCAAACGUUGUUCGGAAUCACUGGGCUUAAAGGGCGCGUAGGCGGGCUGCCAAGUCAGGGGUGAAAUCUUUCGGCCCAACCGGAAAAGUGCUUUUGAUACUGGCAGUCUCGAGGGAGGUAGGGGUCGAUGGAACUAUUGGUGGAGCGGUGAAAUGCGUAGAUAUCAAUAGGAACGCCGGUGGCGAAAGCGAUCGACUGGACCUUUUCUGACGCUGAGGCGCGAAAGCCAGGGGAGCAAACGGGAUUAGAUACCCCCGUAGUCC
rnacentral:rRNA from 1 species